UUCAUCUAAUCUCCGUAGGCUGCUGUGACGUUUUCAGAGACCUGUACUGUUUUCGUUCCUGGUAAAUGUAUCGAUAAAUCACAGCAGGAGAAAAAGUCCUGACAUCUAUCCAGAAGUUUUCACUGCAGCUCCCAGCCAGCACCAAGCUCCACGGGUCACCUGAGAAGCACUUUGCCAUUGCUCUGUAAUUACCAUGGAACCUCUAAUCCAGGCCACAAAUUCCUCCCUGCCCAUACUCCUUUUUAUUUCAGAAUGCGUAUCUAAUAGCAACCAAGGACUUUUCCUAUUUUCUCACUUGGAAUCUGUUUUGGGAGCUUGGAAUUGCUAUCUAACUCAAUCAGUAACAUCUGUGACUGCAGGGCAGCCUGAGUGGGAACGGUUAGGGGGUUAGACAGAUUUCCUGCAUUUUAAGGCUCUUUUCCUCUGAAGAGACUGCUCUGGGACAAUCCAAUUGCCUUUAAUGCUGCUUCUUCCCUUCUUCAUUUUAACCCCAUCUUUUCUCCCCCUUUUUUCCUCCCCUCCACCUCGCUCAAGUUCUUUGGGUUUCAGAAGUAAAAAUUAUUUUAAGGACACAUGCCAGCAUUUUGAAAAGUUUCAGUUUCAAGCACAUGAAAAGGAAAGUCUGAAGGGAUUCCUAGAACUGUACUGCAGCUUGCAGCAUUUUUUCAUGCAAGUUUCUGCUGAAAAAAGACUCAGUAAUUCACCUCAGCCUGUGGCCAGCAGUCUUUUGAAGCAAAAGUGCAAGGAUUGGUGUAGACAAGUUACAUGUAUUGCACAGGGAGGAUGUUUUCCUGACUCACACUGGGAGAGGAUGACAUUCUGUGAACUGUGAGAGUUCCUAAACCUUUCAGAAGACUUCUGCUCAAUUUUCAGGCAUUAUUAUGGAACGCUGAUUCAGUUGGCGUGUUUCUUUGGAACGCUGAAAUGAAUACAGUACAUGUCAAGACACUGCAAAAACAGAAGGAGAAUUCUCAUGGACUGAUGAACUGAGAGCUGAAAUGGGAGUAGCAGAUCAGAACCAAUUGGUGAUCAGUUACUGUAUGCUGUAUCUCCAUUUUUAAGCCAUCUUAGAGAAUGAUGAGUUAGACAAGCACAAGACUCAUUGCUGGGGGAGUUCCUGGAACUACACAACAACUUACUGUCAGAGAGACUUGCAGCAUUACAAAGCAUCACCUCUGCUUUCCAGACUCUGAGUCUCCAGACAAUUAAUAUUUUAUAGUGUUAGCGAUGCUAAUUUUUCAGCCUAAAAACCAACCAAACACUGAAGUCCUGCUACUCCUGAACUGACAUCAUCCAGGAUUGCCUCAUGAGGUUCCUGUUCAGAGACGCAUGCUGGCGGGUUGCAAUGCUACUGAGAAUGGAAGGUCCAGAGCUGCAGCAGGAGUAAGGAACUUGGAAAAUGCAACUGGUGCGGAAGAGCGAGCAA